rnacentral:rRNA from 1 species
CCUACGGGAGGCAGCAGUGAGGAAUAUUGGUCAAUGGACGAGAGUCUGAACCAGCCAAGUAGCGUGAAGGAUGACUGCCCUAUGGGUUGUAAACUUCUUUUAUAUGGGAAUAAACCAGGGUAUGCAUACCCUCUUGUAUGUACCAUAUGAAUAAGGAUCGGCUAACUCCGUGCCAGCAGCCGCGGUAAUACGGAGGAUCCGAGCGUUAUCCGGAUUUGUUGUGUUUAAAGGGAGCGUAGGUGGAUUGUUAAGUCAGUUGUGAAAGUGUGCGGCUCAACCGUAAAAUUGCAGUUGAAACUGGCAGUCUUGAGUACAGUAGAGGUGGGCGGAAUGCGAGGUGUAGCGGUGAAAUGCUUAGAGAUCACGAAGAACUCCGAUUGCGAAGGCAGCUCACUGGAC